UGAGUGAUCCCCAUGCGUUUUCUGCUGCAGAGCAGGACAUGCUGAAGUGAUUCCUUCGUGAGCAGAUGUUAGAGGUCUCCCUUUGACAGCUUGUUACAAAGUUGAUCACGAAUAUACUAUUACGUGUGUUAUGGUCCUCAUUAUUUGGAUGAAUAAUUUGAAUAAUAAGUCAGCUUGUGACUUAGCCAAAUAAAUCUUCUGAUUCCUAGUAAAGUGUUUUUCAUUAUACGAAAUGCCAGCUAUGUAAGAGGAGAUUAAAAGUACUAAGAACUGUAAGUACUCCAUUGAUUAUCAUAUGCUAACCAUGGGCCAGGCACGGUGGCACACACCUAUAAUCCCAGCACUUUGGGAGGCUGAGGCGGGUGGAUCACUUGAGGUCAGGAGUUCAAGACCAGCCUGGCCAAGAUGGUGAAACCCCUGUCUCUACCAAAAAUACAAAAAAUUUGCCAGAUGUGGUGGUGCAUACUGGUAAUCCCAGCUACUCAGGAGGCUGAGUCAGGAGAAUCGCUUGAACUCGGGAGGCAGAGGUUGCAGUGAGCUGAGAUCGUGCCACUGCGCUCCAGCCUGGGUGACAAAGAUAAACUCCAUCUGAACAAAAAAGAAAAAGAA
rnacentral:lncRNA from 1 species